rfam:Eubacterium sp. CAG:841 genomic scaffold, scf91
CUAUGCCGGCCGGGGAGUCAGCGGUGCCUUGUACCUGCAAUCCGCUACAGCAGGGGCGAUCCCGUAUAUGAGGCUUGUGCUUGUGUGGUCUGCGCCGCAGCACCCAUGCGUUGAAGGAUGGGUCUCGCGCAAUCCGAUGCUUUGAAUCAUGUCAGAUGGGGAACCAAGCAGCAUUAAGGAGAUUUUCGGAUGUGCCGCGAGGACGCCUGUCCCGAGCAAGGACUGCGGUGGCGCAUGUGAGCGCAAGUCGAACUGCGGUGCAUGG